UACGGGGGGGGCGAAGCGUUGUUCGGAAUUACUGGGCGUAAAGGGCGCGUAGGCGGCCUGCUAAGUCGGAUGUGAAAUCCCUCGGCUCAACCGAGGAACUGCAUCCGAUACUGGCGGGCUUGAAUCCGGGAGAGGGAUGUGGAAUUCCAGGUGUAGCGGUGAAAUGCGUAGAUAUCUGGAGGAACACCGGUGGCGAAGGCGGCAUCCUGGACCGGUAUUGACGCUGAGGUGCGAAAGCGUGGGGAGCAACAGG
rnacentral:rRNA from 1 species